rnacentral:misc_RNA from 1 species
AACACUGUUAACCUGCGGUACCUGCGGAAGGAUCAUUACAGAGUUGCAAAACUCCCUAAACCAUUGUGAACGUUACCUAAACCGUUGCUUCGGCGGGCGGCCCGGGUCCUUCCCGGCGCCCCUCGGCCCUCGCGGGCGCCCGCCGGAGGUAAACCAAACUAUUGCAUUGUAUGGCCUCUCUGAGUCUUCUGUACUGAAUAGGUCAAAACUUUCAGCAAUGGAUCUCAGAUCGGAAGAGCA